UAUGCAACUGAUGAUAAAACAGACAGGGACAUCAGUUACUCCCGAGGGAGAAUGAUGACUUAGUCUAAUGGGAAUCUCUCUGAUGCAUA
rfam:Citrus sinensis cultivar Ridge Pineapple sweet orange scaffold00111_contig_31, whole genome shotgun sequence.